UACAGAGGGUGCGAGCGUUAAUCGGAAUUACUGGGCGUAAAGCGUGCGUAGACGGUAGCGUAAGUCAGAUGUGAAAGCCCCGGGCUCAACCUGGGAAUUGCAUUUGAGACUGCUCUGCUCGGGUGCGGAAGAGGGAAGCGGAAUUUCCGGUGUAGCGGUGAAAUGCGUAGAUAUCGGGAGGAACACCAGUGGCGAAGGCGAUCAUCUGGGGUUGUUCUGACACUGAGGAGCGAAAGCUAGGGGAGCAAACGGG
rnacentral:rRNA from 1 species